GGAAAAUAAUUCAAUAUUAGCUUGGGAGAAGCAAAUUUUUAUCGAUUUAUGAAUGGAAAUGGGAUGUAACAUUCUGGACACUUGCAAAAUAUCAGAAAGCAUGAGCAACAAUGCGCUCUUCCCCUGAGCUGGCUCUGCUGCCACACCAACCUGUCCCGCUACGUGGAUGUGUUCUCACCCUGCUCUGGCUUAACUUCUCCAUGCUGGACUGACCUUUGUGAGGUGCUGCCUUCACCCUGUAUCAGCUUCUUCAUCACAUCUUUGCAAGUCUGGGUCACCUGCAUUUGUGACUUCCUUGGGAACCAGGUUCUACCCCUGUGGUGGAAAGAUCUAUCUGAGGGCUUUCUCUGGUCUGAGCGCCGCUGCUUGUCAGA